rnacentral:rRNA from 1 species
AUUGAACGCUGGCGGCAGGCCUAACACAUGCAAGUCGAACGAGUGGCGGACGGGUGAGUAAUGUCUGGGAACCUGCCUGAUGAGGGGGAAUAACUACUGGAAACGGUAGCUAAUACCGCAUACCAUCAGAUGUGCCCAGAUGGGAUUAGCUAGUUGUUGGGGUAACGGCUAACCAGGGCGACGAUCCCUAGCUGGUCUGAGAGGAGGACCAGUCACACUGGAACUGAGACACGGUCCAGAAUCCUACGGGAGGCAGCAGUGGGGAAUAUUGCACAAUGGGCGCAAGCCUGAUGCAGCCAUGCCGCGUGUAUGAAGAAGGCCUUCGGGUUGUAAAGUACUUUCAGCGGGGAGGCGUUACCCGCAGAAGAAGCACCGGCUAACUCCGUGCCAGCAGCCGCGGUAAUAC